AAAUUGAAGAGUUUGAUCAUGGCUCAGAUUGAACGCUGGCGGCGGGCCUAACACAUGCAAGUCGAACGGUAACAGGAAGCAGCUUGCUGCUUCGCUGACGAGUGGCGGACGGGUGAGUAAUGUCUGGGAAACUGCCUGAUGGAGGGGGAUAACUACUGGAAACGGUGGCUAAUACCGCAUAACGUCGCAAGACCAAAGAGGGGGACCUUCGGGCCUCUUGCCAUCAGAUGUGCCCAGAUGGGAUUAGCUUGUUGGUGAGGUAACGGCUCACCAAGGCGACGAUCCCUAGCUGGUCUGAGAGGAUGACCAGCCACACUGGAACUGAGACACGGUCCAGACUCCUACGGGAGGCAGCAGUGGGGAAUAUUGCACAAUGGGCGCAAGCCUGAUGCAGCCAUGCCGCGUGUAUGAAGAAGGCCUUCGGGUUGUAAAGUACUU
rnacentral:rRNA from 1 species